rnacentral:rRNA from 1 species
ACCCGCUGAACUUAAGCAUAUCAAUAAGCGGAGGAAAAGAAACCAACAGGGGUUGCCCUAGUAACGGCGAGUGAAGCGGCAACAGCUCAAAUUUGAAAUCUGGCUCUUUUAGAGUCCGAGUUGUAAUUUGCAGAGGGCGCUUUGGCUUUGGCAGCGGUCCAAGUUCCUUGGAACAGGACGUCACAGAGGGUGAGAAUCCCGUACGUGGUCGCUGGCUAUUGCCGUGUAAAGCCCCUUCGACGAGUCGAGUUGUUUGGGAAUGCAGCUCUAAAUGGGAGGUACAUUUCUUCUAAAGCUAAAUAUUGGCCAGAGACCGAUAGCGCACAAGUAGAGUGAUCGAAAGAUGAAAAGCACUUUGGAAAGAGAGUCAAACAGCACGUGAAAUUGUUGAAAGGGAAGCGCUUGCAGCCAGACUUGCUUACAGUUGCUCAUCCGGGCUUUUGCCCGGUGCACUCUUCUGUAGGCAGGCCAGCAUCAGUUUGGGCGGUAGGAUAAAGGUCUCUGUCACGUACCUCUCUUCGGGGAGGCCUUAUAGGGGAGACGACAUACUACCAGCCUGGACUGAGGUCCGCGCAUCUGCUAGGAUGCUGGCGUAAUGGCUGU